GAAAGCUCUACCCAAACUCAUCC
rnacentral:miRNA from 1 species